rnacentral:rRNA from 1 species
UACGAAGGGGGGCUAGCGUUGCUCGGAUUGACUGGGCGUAAAGGGCGCGUAGGCGGCUUACACAGUCAGACGUGAAAUUCCUGGGCUCAACCUGGGGGCUGCGUUUGAUACAUGUAGGCUUGAGUUCGGAAGAGGGUCGUGGAAUUCCCAGUGUAGAGGUGAAAUUCGUAGAUAUUGGGAAGAACACCGGUGGCGAAGGCGGCGACCUGGUCCGGAUACUGACGCUGGAGGCGACGAAAGACGUGGGGAGCAAACAGG